ACACUGAGGCGUGAUGACGAGGCACUACGGUGCUGAAGCAACAAAUGCCCUGCUUCCAGGAAAAGCCUCUAAGCAUCAGGUAACAUCAAAUCGUACCCCAAACCGACACAGGUGGUCAGGUAGAGAAUACCAAGGCGCUUGAGAGAACUCGGGUGAAGGAACUAGGCAAAAUGGUGCCGUAACUUCGGGAGAAGGCACGCUGACACGUAGGUGAAGUGAUUUACUCAUGGAGCUGAAGUCAGUCGAAGAUACCAGCUGGCUGCAACUGUUUAUUAAAAACACAGCACUGUGCAAACACGAAAGUGGACGUAUACGGUGUGACGCCUGCCCGGUGCCGGAAGGUUAAUUGAUGGGGUCAGCGCAAGCGAAGCUCCUGAUCGAAGCCCCGGUAAACGGCGGCCGUAACUAUAACGGUCCUAAGGUAGCGAAAUUCCUUGUCGGGUAAGUUCCGACCUGCACGAAUGGCGUAAUGAUGGCCAGGCUGUCUCCACCCGAGACUCAGUGAAAUUGAACUCGCUGUGAAGAUGCAGUGUACCCGCGGCAAGACGGAAAGACCCCGUGAACCUUUACUAUAGCUUGACACUGAACAUUGAGCCUUGAUGUGUAGGAUAGGUGGGAGGCUUUGAAGUGUGGACGCCAGUCUGCAUGGAGCCGGCCUUGAAAUACCACCCUUUAAUGUUUGAUGUUCUAACGUGGACCCGUGAUCCGGGUUGCGGACAGUGUCUGGUGGGUAGUUUGACUGGGGCGGUCUCCUCCUAAAGAGUAACGGAGGAGCACGAAGGUUGGCUAAUCCUGGUCGGACAUCAGGAGGUUAGUGCAAUGGCAUAAGCCAGCUUGACUGCGAGCGUGACGGCGCGAGCAGGUGCGAAAGCAGGUCAUAGUGAUCCGGUGGUUCUGAAUGGAAGGGCCAUCGCUCAACGGAUAAAAGGUACUCCGGGGAUAACAGGCUGAUACCGCCCAAGAGUUCAUAUCGACGGCGGUGUUUGGCACCUCGAUGUCGGCUCAUCACAUCCUGGGGCUGAAGUAGGUCCCAAGGGUAUGGCUGUUCGCCAUUUAAAGUGGUACGCGAGCUGGGUUUAGAACGUCGUGAGACAGUUCGGUCCCUAUCUGCCGUGGGCGCUGGAGAACUGAGGGGGGCUGCUCCUAGUACGAGAGGACCGGAGUGGACGCAUCACUGGUGUUCGGGUUGUCAUGCCAAUGGCACUGCCCGGUAGCUAAAUGCGGAAGAGAUAAGUGCUGAAAGCAUCUAAGCACGAAACUUGCCCCGAGAUGAGUUCUCCCUGAGACUUAGAGUCUCCUGAAGGAACGUUGAAGACGACGACGUUGAUAGGCCGGGUGUGUAAGCGCAGCGAUGCGUUGAGCUAACCGGUACUAAUGAACCGUGAGGCUUAACCUU
rnacentral:rRNA from 1 species